CCCGUAAAUUUUGGGAAUGGUGGGGACAUGGUGGGCACCAUAUUUUCAUUUAUUGGGCUGCACACAUCAAAGUGGAGGGUCCUCCUUUUGUUGGCUAUGAUUGAAGGAAGUGUUGAAAGAAGUUGAUGGAAGGAGCACAUCAUACAACUCUCGGCAUCCAGCAGAUGGAGAAAUCACAUUUCAAUUAUUUCUCUUAAGUGGAGACAACAUAAUGAAGAGAAGGGACCACCACCCCACUUGGAGAAGCACCUCACGGUUUUUCUCUCUAGCUGCACCGAAGUGUCUUCUCUUCCUUUCUAUUGAUGAGCUUCAAGUAAAGACACCAAGGCAACCAUGAGAGACCAACAAGCAUACGUAGCUGCCACAAAAGAAGUCCAGCCAUUACAACCAUGGAAGAAAAAGGGGAGAGAGUUGCUGGAAAAAUCUGGAAGAGUUGCUGCAAGAUCUGGGAGAGGUGAAACGGAGAGCGUCCGGAGCUGCAGCUACAAACCUUGGGAAGAUUGAUUCAAGAGGGGUGUUGGAUGCUGCAUCCAGAGAAGUGGAGAGCUCGUGGAUUUGGAAGGUGAUCCGCACACUGUAUUUCAAGAAUUUCAAGGAGGUCUUCAAGAGAUGUUGUCGAGGAGAGUCCUUUAGAGCAGGAGCUGGAGGAUACUAAGGUUGCGGAGUAGUCUUCUUAGGAGUUUCCCAUAUGGACACGUGUAGUGUUCGACUCUUUAAGCUAUUUAAGUUCGAAUUUCCGUUUUCUUUUAUUUCUGGAUGACUGUAAUUUUACAUUUAAUUACACGUCAUGAUCCGACUGUUCUCUUUAUUGGAAUGUUGACGUCUUGAUUAUGUAAUAUUGGUUAUUAUAUAAUCGGGAUGUUACAUUAAUGGUAUCAGAGCAGUUCGUCCUUAGGAUGACCUUUGUGUUGUGGGUUUGCCGUGUCUUCUCUGUGAAGACUUGAGUGUAGAUGGUAUGAUUUACCAUUUCUUUUAAGUCUAGAUUGUGAGGUGUGUAUCUGACUAGACGUUUUAAGAACAGAAAACAUCUUGAUAAGAGUAAUGGGGGUGCACACUCAUGACUUUUAUCGUAGAUGAUUUUCCUUUCUUAAUUCUGAAGGUUUGAGGUAAGAAAGAGUUAGAGUUUUAGUGUUGUUUCCCUUAGAAUUUCCUGUCUGGUUCUUGUUUUGUGGUGGUGUGAUGUGCUCUAUGGUAAUAGAGGAAUGCAUAUUCGAGGACAACUUGAGUUGUAUACCUUUAUUGGAAUUGGGUUAAGCCUUUGAGACAAGUUCUUGCCUUGAAGACAGGAGAUUGAAGACUAAAAGUUAAGCUUCGGAGGACGAGGUAAGAUAUUGGAGUUUAGAAGUAAUGUUAUGGAUGAAGAAAAUUUCAAGAAAACAAAGUCAGAAGGUCAGAUACCAUGUAUUCCACAAGAAGAGUUGGGUUUGAAGGUUAGAAUAAGAUGAGCUUUGGGGUAAGCAUGGGUGUGACAAAGUUUGAGAGAUCAAUUUAGUUCAGUGUAUCAGUAACGUCAGAGGUUAGAAGAAAGGGAAGUGUUGGUGAGCGACGGAGUAGCAUUGGGUGAGAUUUGUAACAUGGACCAAUAUAUCAGUGAUGGUUGGAAUCUGAAUAAGAGAAGUGAUAGAUGGUUUGAAGCUUAAGUUAAGAAAGAAAUAAGUGGACCACGGGAAAUCGUUAUUUUGAUAGGAAAUAGAAGAAGAAGGGUUUGAGGAACAAUGUGUAAAACAUAGAACGGAUUUAAGGAGGGUGUAAUAGAAGCCGGAUCUCCAAGUUGAGGGAACAUAAAGUGUGUAAGGAGAAUUGGAGUAUUACUGUGAGUUGAAUAACCAAAUGGAGUGGUUAGGCAUUAAUUGCUAUUGGAGAAUGCAUAGUCAAGUUCAGAAGAAUGUUUCAAGAUUAGUAGUUCGUAUAGAAUAAAGGUUUGAUCAUUGGUUGAGAUGAAAGAUUUCAAAUGUUGAAGGAAGGAGUACACCAGAAUGCCAGUUUGGUAAGAAAGUAUAAGGUUAGAGAAUUAAGAGCACAGUGGAUGGAGAAAGGUUUUAGAAUAGAUGAUAAAGGGUGGCUGUAGUAUAAGUUGCUAAAGGAGGUAUCGAGAAUGAUCAGAGAAGUUUGGGUUGGUUGAGAUGUUUAGAGUUAUGAAGUUGCAUGUGGGGAUAAAGUUAAUUUUCUUUGGGUAUGGUUUUAUGGUGAUGUUCAAUGUUCGGCUGAGUUUGAUCAAGAGAGAAGUGGAUGUUGAAUGAUGGAUUUCAGAAGGCAGUGAGUUGGUAGGUUCAGAUAAGGUCAGAAGAUUAGUGGUGUUGGUUAAGAGUAUCUUGAGGUUGGGAAGAUUAAAGAUGGGGUUUGUAUUUUGACGAUUCCGAGUUGAAGAGGGCAAUUCUUGAAGAAGAAAAUUUUAAGUUAAUCGGGACGGGAUGAGUGCAAGAAGGUUUACGAGUGAUGUGGCGUUUGUGGAGUUAAUCUAAGGACUCAAGUUUGAAGUUUAUAUGGAGUGGUUUCUUGACAGGGAAGGAAAACGAAGGUGGUGCAUCAAGUAUAGUUGAGCGAAAGAUGGAAGCAAGUGUUAUGAGAAUUCAAGAUGUCUAUAAAUUGCAAAUGAAGAAGAGAUGAUGUUGUUUUUUUCGUAAGUCUGAGGUGUGAUUCAAGGGAGGUUUGUUGUUUCAAACAAGUUCUCUAGUGCUUUAUAGUCUUUAAUAGAAGCUUCGUAUUUCAAAAAGAAAAGUCACCGGAUAUAUAUAUCAAUUGUGGAUCAAAUUAGAAAGUGAAGAAAAAGGGGUGUGGUAAUCAAAAGAGGUUAGCAUGGAUAUGUGAAAAAGAGAAGAUAAAUCUUUAUGGUGUAAAGGUUUUGGUUGGUUUUCUGCAACAAGUAUGGGAUUUUAUAACUUGGAGAAGUGGAAUUCACUUUGGAGUGGGGUCUUAGGCGACACCAGUGUUCGAAAUUUUUGAGUGGUUCCUGUUUAAGUCGUGCAGUGCAAGAGGAAGAUGAAGGUUGAGUUAGAGCAAUAAUAUUUUGGACUCAGUUUAAUCAUAGGGAGAACUACAAGGUUGAAGAAUCGCAGAAGAGAAAUAGAGGGCAUGUUGGCAUAGGCUAGUAUAAGUCUUAUCAAUCAGGAGUGAUUUCGGGCAUGGUCGCUUUGUGGAGAAGAAAACAUUGUUGAGGAAAUGGAAUGACAAGGCUAUUAUGCAAGGGAAGAGUUUUCAAGGUUUUGUAAGGUCAUAUAAAAGUUCUGAGGAAGGUUCUUCGAGGGUAAUCUUUUGCUGGUUACAGUUAUCAUGAAGGAAGUAUUUCUUUAAGUAAAUUGGUGAGUAAGGAAGUAUAAGGAUCAGAGUAGCGCAGCGGAUGAUGGUGAGCAUGUUAUUGUCAGUAACAGGUAUGCAUGAAGAACUUUCAAAAUUGUAGAUUUGUGGUUGUGAGGGACGAGUUCUUUGAAACAGUAUUGGUGUUGUUAUAUGAGCAUGAGUCGGGGGUGUUUGGUAAUCUUCAAGAGUCAGAAGUGAGUUUAGGUGUGAAAGAAACAUGUGUCAGGCAGGGAAGAUAAGUGAACUUUUGGGUUGCAAGCUACAGGGUCAACUUUAAAGUGAGAAAGUGUUAAUGGCUUUGGAAUGAGAAGAGUGGGUCAAUGGGCGAAGGAGACUAUUUGAGUUGUGGUCUUGAGUUAUAGUGGCAAUCUAGAGGUAAAGUUAUGUUAACAGAUGGUUUGAACAAAGAGAAACUUACCUUGACUAGUUUCGAUAGCCUUAAUUUUCGAGGACGAAAAUUUUUGUUGUUGGGGAGAAUGUAAGACCCGUAAAUUUUGGGAAUGGUGGGGACAUGGUGGGCACCAUAUUUUCAUUUAUUGGGCUGCACACAUCAAAGUGGAGGGUCCUCCUUUUGUUGGCUAUGAUUGAAGGAAGUGUUGAAAGAAGUUGAUGGAAGGAGCACAUCAUACAACUCUCGGCAUCCAGCAGAUGGAGAAAUCACAUUUCAAUUAUUUCUCUUAAGUGGAGACAACAUAAUGAAGAGAAGGGACCACCACCCCACUUGGAGAAGCACCUCACGGUUUUUCUCUCUAGCUGCACCGAAGUGUCUUCUCUUCCUUUCUAUUGAUGAGCUUCAAGUAAAGACACCAAGGCAACCAUGAGAGACCAACAAGCAUACGUAGCUGCCACAAAAGAAGUCCAGCCAUUACAACCAUGGAAGAAAAAGGGGAGAGAGUUGCUGGAAAAAUCUGGAAGAGUUGCUGCAAGAUCUGGGAGAGGUGAAACUGAGAGCGUCCGGAGCUGCAGCUACAAACCUUGGGAAGAUUGAUUCAAGAGGGGUGUUGGAUGCUGCAUCCAGAGAAGUGGAGAGCUCGUGGAUUUGGAAGGUGAUCCGCACACUGUAUUUCAAGAAUUUCAAGGAGGUCUUCAAGAGAUGUUGUCGAGGAGAGUCCUUUAGAGCAGGAGCUGGAGGAUACUAAGGUUGCGGAGUAGUCUUCUUAGGAGUUUCCCAUAUGGACACGUGUAGUGUUCGACUCUUUAAGCUAUUUAAGUUCGAAUUUCCGUUUUCUUUUAUUUCUGGAUGACUGUAAUUUUACAUUUAAUUACACGUCAUGAUCCGACUGUUCUCUUUAUUAGAAUGUUGACGUCUUGAUUAUGUAAUAUUGGUUAUUAUAUAAUCAGGAUGUUACACUACAUGCCAUGUAAUUAAUAUGCCAUAAUUAAGAAAUCUAAAGGAUACCAAAAUAUGACAGAAACAAA